rnacentral:rRNA from 1 species
GGAGGGUGCUAACGUUGCUCGGAAUUACUGGGCGUAAAGCGCAUGCAGGCGGUUUGCCAAGUUUCGUGUGAAAGCCCCCCCGCUUAACGGGGGAAGGGCACGGAAAACUGGCAAGCUAGAGUACUGAAGAAGUGGGCGGAAUUCCCGGUGUAGAGGUGAAAUUCGUAGAUAUCGGGAGGAACACCAGUAGCGAAAGCGGCUCACUUGUCAGAUACUGACGCUCAGAUGCGAAAGCGUGGGGAGCAAACAGGAUUAGAUACCCUGGUAGUCCACGCUGUAAACGAUGGGCACUAGGUGUCGGAGGCUUGACCCCUUUGGCGCCGUAGCUAACGCGUUAAGUGCCCCCGCCUGGGGACUACGGUCGCAAGACUA